CCUCAAUUUAUGUAUCAAAUCGGAGAAUUAUGAUCACAUUAAUCAUCAAUUUCAUUACAGUAGCAAACUAAGAGGUUUGCAGAUAUUCGUUCAACUGAAAUAAAGUUUAUACAACCAUCAUCAAUACUAAACACUAAAAAACAUAUCUAGAUCAAACCCAUUUAAGCACGUUUACCCUCAAUCCUCCUUGCGAGCUGGAUAUCCUUAGGCAUAAUAGUAACCCUCUUGGCAUGAAUAGCACAAAGAUCGGUAUCCUCAAAAAGCCCAAUCAGGUAGGCCUCUAUAGCCUUCUAUAGUGCCGCCACGGCAGAGCUUUGGAAUCGAAGAUCAGUCUUAAAAUCCUAGGGCGAUUUCACGGACCAGCCUCUGGAAGGUUAGCUUGCGGAUCGAGAGUUCAGUAGGCGUCUGGUACUUCCGGAUCUCAUUGAGAGCCAUUGUACCAGGGCGGAAGAGGUGGGGAUUUUUAACACCGCCAGUCGUCGAUGCGGACUUCUAGGUGGCCUUGGUAGUGAGCUGCAUACAGAGAGCCUUGCCUCCUAUUGAUUUACGAGCUAUCUGCUUUGUACGAGCCAUUAGAAGAUGGAAAAAUGGAGGUAUUGAUUACUCUCUAUGUGAAUGUGGAAUUUUGGGGAUAAUGGAAGGGAUGAAGGGUUUAUAUUGGGGAAUGGAGAGGUGCGAGGUAGAAACUUUGGCGUUGUUUGAAUUUCGGAAUUUGGAGGAUUAGAGAUAGACGUUGAUGUAAAGAGAAUUUGACGGAGGAGAUUGGAAUAAGGAAGAGUGAUUUGGAUUGCUAUGUAAGUGAAGGUUAUGCUCCAAU
rnacentral:lncRNA from 1 species